AUACGGAGGGUCCAAGCGUUAUCCGGAUUCAUUGGGUUUAAAGGGUCCGCAGGCGGGAAAAUAAGUCAGUGGUGAAAGCCUACAGCUCAACUGUAGAACUGCCAUUGAUACUGUUUUUCUUGAGUAUAGAUGAAGUGGGCGGAACAUAUCAUGUAGCGGUGAAAUGCAUAGAUAUGAUAUAGAACACCGAUUGCGAAGGCAGCUCACUAAACUAUUACUGACGCUCAGGGACGAAAGCGUGGGGAGCGAACAGGAUUAGAAACCCUAGUAGUCC
rnacentral:rRNA from 1 species